GUGGGCGUCGCCAAACUGGCAAGGCGCAGGACUCCAAAUCCUGUUAUAUGGGGGUUCGAAUCCCUUCGUCCACG
rnacentral:tRNA from 1 species